rnacentral:rRNA from 1 species
GUAGGUGGCAAGCGUUGUCCGGAAUUAUUGGGCGUAAAGCGCGCGCAGGCGGUCCUUUAAGUCUGAUGUGAAAGCCCACGGCUCAACCGUGGAGGGUCAUUGGAAACUGGGGGACUUGAGUACAGAAGAGGAAAGCGGAAUUCCAAGUGUAGCGGUGAAAUGCGUAGAGAUUUGGAGGAACACCAGUGGCGAAGGCGGCUUCCUGGUCUGUAGCUGACGCUGAGGCGCGAAAGCGUGGGGAGCAAACAGGGAUUAGAUACCCUGGUAGUCCACGCCGUAAACGAUGAGUGCUAAGUGUUAGGGGGUUUCCCGCCCCUUAGUGCUGCAGCUAACGCAUUAAGCGCUCCGCCUGGGGAGUACGGCCGCAAGGCUG